rnacentral:rRNA from 1 species
AAAGCUCAAAUUUAAAAUCUGGCGGUCUUUGGUCGUCCGAGUUGUAAUCUAGAGAAGUGUUAUCCGCGCUGGACCGUGUACAAGUCUCCUGGAAUGGAGCGUCAUAGAGGGUGAGAAUCCCGUCUUUGACACGGACUACCAGGGCUUUUGUGAUGCGCUCUCAAAGAGUCGAGUUGUUUGGGAAUGCAGCUCAAAAUGGGUGGUAAAUUCCAUCUAAAGCUAAAUACGGGCGAGAGACCGAUAGCAAA